CACCCUGCCCGCCACCCCGGCGUCUGGGCGCGAGCGCGGCCGCUCGCCCUCUCCUCCAGCCCACCUCUCACCUCGUCCCUAGCUCCACCGAGCACUUUCUGCUGCCUGCCGUAGCAGCCUGCAGCCAGAGCCCUACACCACUCCUACCGCUGGCAUUACAUUUUCAGGCUGGAUGCUAUAGGGCCGUUUCUAAUUACCUUAUAUCCCCUAGUGGUCUAUGAAUAAUGGAUCUAAUCUGGCUACUGUGUUCUGGAAGAGGAGGAGAGAGAGGCAGCAGGAGAGAGAGAGAGAGGCGAGCAAGAAACAUCGCAGGUAUUGUUGCAAGCUCUAUCUUUGUGCUUUUUGCCUUUUCCUUCUCUUUUUAUUUACGCUGCAGCAGAAUUUGGAGGUGGUGGGGGGGAGAGUAUGCACGGAGCUUUUUCCAGAUUUAUUUUUCUCCCGUGCAACUCGUGUGCCGUUGCGAAGGAAUCAAUGCACAGUGCUGGCGUCGCAGAGUUUGUGGGGGGUGCGUGUGUGCGUGUGUGUGUGUGCGUGUGUGUGUGUGCGUGUGUCCUGUUUGCAGCCACUGGAGAGGAGGGGGUAGUUUUGCAUUUCUGGAAGUAAUAAAGAAAUUUGCAGCCGGUCCAGAAAUCCUACUGACUUGCCGAUUGAUGAGUAUCUGAACAAAGAUACCGCUGAGACUUGGAAUAUUUAUGUAUUUGUGUGUGUAAGAGAUUGAUUCGUUUUGCUUGUCCUGACUUCUACUUUUCUGAAGUUAAAAUAAUAACGAGCAGGGGGUUGCGAAAGGAUCGGCAAAUGCAGGCUUUCAAAGGAGGGCUUAUUUUAAUUUGGGAGUUAUUGAUGUGCAUGUUUUUCUACUUAUAAAAGUUGCAGUGUCGCCGCGAUUAGGCAUCUCGCUGUCCUCGCUGUUGUCUGCACGUGAGAACGCCGACUUGAUCUAUUUUCUUUCUUCUCUUUGGUGGAUCGCAGGCUCACGGGGCAGAAAAAAUGGUUCUAGCAGAUAUGCAAGUAAUCACAGGGUUUGCACAUCUGGCUGUGCGUUUGGAAAGCCCCUCGGUGGGACUUUCACAUACCCUCCUGCUCCCUUUCUCCCACGGCAAAUUUAUACAGAAAUCAUCCGCUGACAUUAAUAAACAAACAAACCAGCCAACA
rnacentral:lncRNA from 1 species